rnacentral:tRNA from 1 species
GCCCGAAUAGCUCAGUUGGUAUAGCAUUAGACUUUUAAUCUGAGGGUCCAGGGUUCAAGUCCAUGUUUGAGCA